AUUGAACGCUGGCGGCAUGCCUUACACAUGCAAGUCGAACGGUAACAGGUUAAGCUGACGAGUGGCGAACGGGUGAGUAAUAUAUCGGAACGUGCCCAGUCGUGGGGGAUAACGUAGCGAAAGCUACGCCAAUACCGCAUACGAUCUACGGAUGAAAGCGGGGGAUCGCAAGACCUCGCGCGAUUGGAGCGGCCGAUAUCAGAUUAGGGUGUUGGUGAGGUAAAAGCUCACCAAGCCUGCGACCUGUAGCUGGUCUGAGAUGACGAACAGCCAUACUGGAACUGAGACACGGUCCAGACUCCUACGGGAGGCAUCAGUGGGGAAUUUUUGACAAUGGACGCAAGUCUGAUCCAGCAAUGCCGCGUGCAGGACGAAGGCCUUCGGGUUUUAAACUGCUUUUGUACGGAACGAAACGGUGAGCUCUAAUACAGUUUGCUAAUGACGGUACCGUAAGAAUAAGCACCGGCUAACUACGUGCCAGCCGCCGCCGUAA
rnacentral:rRNA from 1 species